rnacentral:rRNA from 1 species
UUAAAGGAAUUGACGGGACCCGCACAAGCAGCGGAGCGUGUGGUUAAUUCGUUGCUACACGAAGAACCUUACCUGGGUUGACAUAUAGGUUGUAGGGAACUGAAAAGGGACCGACCCUUCGGGGAGCCUAUACAGGUGUUGCAUGGCUGUCGUCAGCUCGUGUCGUGAGAUGUUCGGUUAAGUCCGCUAACGAGCGCAACCCUCGUCGUAUGUUAUAUGUGUCAUACGAGACUGCCGGUAAAAAGCCGGAGGAAGGUGAGGAUGAUGUCAAGUCAGCAUGACCUUUAUAUCCAGGGCUACACACACGCUACAAUGGUCUGUACAAUGGGUAGCCAAGCCGCGAGGCGGAGCCAAUCCCCAAACGGCCUCUCAGUUCGGGUAGUAGUCUGCAACUCGACUACUUGAAGUCGGAAUCGCUAGUAAUGGCGGAUCAGCAUGCCGCCGUGAAUACGUUCCCGGGUCUU